GACGAACGCUGGCGGCGUGCUUAACACAUGCAAGUCGAACGGAAGGGCCCUGCUUGCAGGGUACUCGAGUGGCGAACGGGUGAGUAACACGUGGGUGAUCUGCCCUGCACUUCGGGAUAAGCCUGGGAAACUGGGUCUAAUACCGGAUAGGAGCCAUUUUUAGUGUGAUGGUUGGAAAGUUUUUUCGGUGUAGGAUGAGCUCGCGGCCUAUGAGCUUGUUGGUGGGGUAAUGGCCUACCAAGGCGGCGACGGGUAGCCGGCCUGAGAGGGUGGACGGCCACAUUGGGACUGAGAUACGGCCCAGACUCCUACGGGAGGCAGCAGUGGGGAAUAUUGCACAAUGGGCGCAAGCCUGAUGCAGCGACGCCGCGUGGGGGAUGACGGCCUUCGGGUUGUAAACUCCUUUCGCUAGGGACGAAGCUUUUUGUGACGGUACCUAGAUAAGAAGCACCGGCUAACUACGUG
rnacentral:rRNA from 1 species